CCAGACUCCUACGGGAGGCAGCAGUGGGGAAUAUUGGGCAAUGGGCGCAAGCCUGACCCAGCAACGCCGCGUGAAGGAAGAAGGCUUUCGGGUUGUAAACUUCUUUUAUUCGGGACGAAGAAAGUGACGGUACCGAAUGAAUAAGCCACGGCUAACUACGUGCCAGCAGCCGCGGUAAUACGUAGGUGGCAAGCGUUAUCCGGAUUUACUGGGUGUAAAGGGCGUGUAGCCGGGCUUACAAGUCAGAUGUGAAAUCCGGGGGCUCAACCCCCGAACUGCAUUUGAAACUGUAGGUCUUGAGUAUCGGAGAGGCAGGCGGAAUUCCUAGUGUAGCGGUGAAAUGCGUAGAUAUUAGGAGGAACACCAGUGGCGAAGGCGGCCUGCUGGACGACAACUGACGGUGAGGCGCGAAAGCGUGGGGAGCAAACAGGAUUAGAUACCCCUGUAAUU
rnacentral:rRNA from 1 species